GGUUCUGAUAGGAAGCCUCAAGGCCUAUUCAAGGCCCCACAAAGGCACCUAUUUGGAUUCAUUCUGCUCUUUGAGCUCAGGUAAUCAGAAGUAUGAUAGUUAUAAGACCUAUAUAACCAAGAAAAGGAACCUUAUGUGUUCGAGUACUAAGUUAGUUACUGAUGGGAAGCCUCAAGGCCUACACCUAAGGCCCCACAAAGGCACCUGUCAAUAACUAACAUAAUCUCUCGAAUAUAUAUAAUUAAACUCAAACAUCCGUUCUACAUCUGCCAUGUUGAAGAUGGCAGUGGCACGCCUGAGCACUUAAAAGUUAAUCUUGAUUGUGAGCCUCAAGGCCUACACCUAAGGCCUCACAAAGGCACCUUUCAAAGUUAACUCUGUCCUUCUCUUUCAGCCUUGCCCGAGAAGCCCGCCAGUAAAGCAGAAGCCCGACAGAAAGCAUCAACCGGCGCCAACCUCUCGGGGAGCUGUGUGCUCGUCGACCAGGAAGCAUUCCCCACGGAAAUUCCCGCCAUGAACAGGUGCAAAUAUCCCAAAUGCAUCAAAUGGGUACAUUUAAAUUCACAUGUACCCGUUAAAUAAAUAACUUGGAAUCCAAACAAAGAUAUAAACCAAAUAAAAAGCUAUCUACCAAAACAUAUUUUGUUUUGCCUAUAAUGUAGGAAUUGAUUAGUUUUAACUAAUGUUAUGAAAUUUUGGAAUGUAAUGAAUUAAUUACAUUUAUGGGUGGCAUAAAGUUUUAAAUGUAAAUAUGUUGAUGUGUAUAAAGUGGUAGGAUUUUGAUAAAAAAUUUAAAAUCAAUAGGAUUUCAAUGAAAGGAUAUUGGUGGUUGGGGAUUGCAUCAUAAUUUCUCUUUUAAUAUUUAGUAUUGUUUCUGUCUGUAACGUCGUAGGAUUGAAACUGCAAUUCAAUCCAAUUGACGAAAAAAGUUUGAUCCCUCAAAGUUACGUUAACAGUUUGUAAAGAAAAUAGCGGGAAAGUAACCUGAAAUUUGACCGCUGAGAUGGAUGAGCAUUUCAUUUUUUUAGUUUCUGCAAAUUUAAAUUUAUCCGUUCCUGAAUACUGAAAGCACCUUUCUUCAGUUUAAUGUUGGGCCUAAGUUAGGAUGAAAGAAUGGACAUUAUUUAGAUGUUUUCUGUAGUUUUUUGGUCUGGCUACGUACGAAUAUGUGACUACUACAAAUUGGUUUAAUGUGUUGGAGAGUGGUAGCGGUUUUAUAUUGAUUACUGUCGGAUAAAAUAUUUCCGACAACAUAUUUAAAUAGUGAUCGGAUAACAAAGCACUGUUGUAGCUUAUAUUAGACAUCAGCAAUAAGUGUCAGCUAUAUCCGACAUUAAUUCACUACUUUUCGAUAGGAAUAAUGAAGCGGGCACUUAACUCCACCAGAUUUAUUUUUAAAAACAUUUAACGAAUUUUGGCGGGUACAUCCGACCUAAGUAGCUAAUGUUGUCGGAUUAUGUUAUAUUAUUUUCAAAUUUUUUUAUACCAAUCCUUUCGGAUUAUUUAAAUUUUUAUGUUUUGUUAAUCACAUUCAAUGGCAACAGCAGAAGCACACCGCCUUUAAACCGAAGACCAAGAGGUCUCAUGCACAAGCACUUCACCAUCAGGCUGGGAAGAGGGUCAGUUAAAUAUAU
rnacentral:lncRNA from 1 species